UGAGGAAUAUUGGACAAUGGGCGCAAGCCUGAUCCAGCCAUGCCGCGUGAGUGAUGAAGGCCCUAGGGUUGUAAAGCUCUUUCACCGGUGAAGAUAAUGACGGUAGCCGGAGAAGAAGCCCCGGCUAACUUCGUGCCAGCAGCCGCGGUAAUACGAAGGGGGCUAGCGUUGUUCGGAAUUACUGGGCGUAAAGCGCGCGUAGGCGGAUUGUUAAGUUAGGGGUGAAAUCCCAGGGCUCAACCCUGGAAUGGCCCUUAAUACUGGCAGUCUCGAGUUCGGGAGAGGUGAGUGGAAUUCCGAGUGUAGAGGUGGAAUUCGUAGAUAUUCGGAGGAACACCAGUGGCGAAGGCGGCUCACUGGACCGAUACUGACGCUGAGGUGCGAAAGCGCGGGGAGCAAACAGG
rnacentral:rRNA from 1 species